rnacentral:lncRNA from 10 species
UUGAAAUAAAAGAAACGGAAUAAAAGGGGGAGUUUUCGAAGCCUUUGAUGGGGGAGGAAAGACCCCAAGCUUCUCUCCUUAGAGGGAAGGAAUCCUUACUUACAGGUUAGUUCCACCACGUGCAGUUCCUCACAGUGACCAGCAGGGGGAAAAAGUAGUUUUGCGUUUCCGAUGGAUCCCUGCGCCCCGCUGCCAAUUCCCCAAGCAAAGGGAAGCGAGGGGAGAGCGCGGAGCCCCCGAUUAGCGUUCGGAGGAACUGGCCUAGAGGGGCCACUCGGAGCGCAAAGGCCCCGCGAAAUAGAAUAUCUAUACGCCCAGCAACCCUCCCUUUCGAGGCGCACGGAAUAAGUUGGCUGGAACUCUCCGCUGACCGCUCCGCCUGGGACUCAGGGUUGCAGCCGCACAGAGCUUCCUCCGGGGCGCCCAGGGCGGCGCGAGCAGGAGGGGGACCCAGUGUGGCCGCGCCCGGGAACUCGGGGGACCAGGUGAGGCUGCGCCCGGGUCCCAGUGGGAUCCAGAUGAGCGUACGCCCAAGCCCGCGGGGGACCAGGCUUCCGAAGUGAUUGAGCAGCGUCAGUCUUCAGCUGCUAAGCCGAGAAGAUCUGGGAAGGAGUCAGUCAGAGAGCCUUGGGCCAGAGUUCCAGAGAGCCUUGGGAAGGAGUCAGUCAGAGAGCCUUGGGGCUCUGGAAGUGGCUGC